AGAGUUUGAUCAUGGCUCAGAUUGAACGCUGGCGGCAGGCCUAACACAUGCAAGUCGAGCGGUAGAGAGAAGCUUGCUUCUCUUGAGAGCGGCGGACGGGUGAGUAAUGCCUAGGAAUCUGCCUGGUAGUGGGGGAUAACGUUCGGAAACGGACGCUAAUACCGCAUACGUCCUACGGGAGAAAGCAGGGGACCUUCGGGCCUUGCGCUAUCAGAUGAGCCUAGGUCGGAUUAGCUAGUUGGUGAGGUAAUGGCUCACCAAGGCGACGAUCCGUAACUGGUCUGAGAGGAUGAUCAGUCACACUGGAACUGAGACACGGUCCAGACUCCUACGGGAGGCAGCAGUGGGGAAUAUUGGACAAUGGGCGAAAGCCUGAUCCAGCCAUGCCGCGUGUGUGAAGAAGGUCUUCGGAUUGUAAAGCACUUUAAGUCGGGAGGAAGGGUUGCAGAUUAAUACUCUGCAAUUUUGACGCUACCGACAGAAUAAGCACCGGCUAACUCUGUGCCAGCAGCCGCGGUAAUACAGAGGGUGCAAGCGUUAAUCGGAAUUACUGGGCGUAAAGCGCGCGUAGGUGGUUUGUUAAGUUGGAUGUGAAAUCCCCGGGCUCAACCUGGGAACUGCAUUCAAAACUGACUGACUAGAGUAUGGUAGAGGGUGGUGGAAUUUCCUGUGUAGCGGUGAAAUGCGUAGAUAUAGGAAGGAACACCAGUGGCGAAGGCGACCACCUGGACUAAUACUGACACUGAGGUGCGAAAGCGUGGGGAGCAAACAGGAUUAGAUACCCUGGUAGUCC
rnacentral:rRNA from 1 species